rnacentral:rRNA from 1 species
CCUACGGGUGGCAGCAGUGAGGAAUAUUGGUCAAUGGACGAGAGUCUGAACCAGCCAAGUAGCGUGAAGGAUGACUGCCCUAUGGGUUGUAAACUUCUUUUAUAUGGGAAUAAAAUGUUCCACGUGUGGGAUUUUGUAUGUACCAUAUGAAUAAGGAUCGGCUAACUCCGUGCCAGCAGCCGCGGUAAUACGGAGGAUCCGGGCGUUAUCCGGAUUUAUUGGGUUUAAAGGGAGCGUAGGUGGAUUGUUAAGUCAGUUGUGAAAGUUUGCGGCUCAACCGUGAAAUUGCAGUUGAAACUGGCAGGCUUGAGUACAGUAGAGGUGGGCGGAAUUCGUGGUGUAGCGGUGAAAUGCUUAGAUAUCACGAAGAACUCCGAUUGCGAAGGCAGUUCACUGUACUGCAACUGACGCUCAUGCACGAAAGCGUGGGUAUCGAACAGGAUUAGAUACCCGAGUAGUC